AAUGAAUGAAAUAUGAAGUUUUAUUAAAAGAAAAAGGGGUGAAAAGAACAAAGUUUUAUCCAUCUUUGUUCAUCAUAGCUGAAAGUUAGAGAAGAGAAAGGAGAGGAGAAAGCUCUUGAAUAUUUGGUCAUUAGGAGGAGGAAAAUUGAAGGUAAGUUCUUGGUACCUUGCUUCUAUUUUGAGGUUCAUGAGUUCUUCUUGAUUCUACCUUAACUCUUAAAGUAUAUUUUGAUUUUUAGUUGUGUUGUGAGCAUUUAGUCAUGAAUUAAAAUGAAGGAAAUGGUUGUUGUUUCAUGUUCUUUUGAUGAAAAAUGGAAGAUAGGUGAAGUUGAGCCAAGCAAAUGAGCAUGCAUGUGCCUUAGAUGUUAAAGGGAAAAAUCAGCUAACAUGUUGUGCUUUAAAAUGAUGAAAUGGAGAUUAUACUUAAGUAAAAUCAUAGAUAUGUGAUGAUUGAUUGGUGAUAUACAUGUUUAAAUAACAUGCAUGCAAGGUAUGUGUGAAAGAGUGAUUUGGUAAUAAAUCUGCUUGGGACAGCAGCAGUAACGUGACUUUGGAAAAUCACCAUAAAUUGUGGGAGAUGAAUUAGAAGCUGAAUAAAUUAUGUAAUUAAAGCUUAUUGAGUCUAGUUUCUAAUGAAAUAAACAAGAACAUAUUUUGAAUUCUGUACAAUGAGAAAUUUGAUUCGUAAUGAAGAGUAGUCAGAUUAGUCAAACAGUGAAACAUGGAAAACUUUAAGAAAAAUAUGGUAUUGAUUGGCUAUACAAAAAAUUCUGAAAAUUUUAUGGAUAAAAUAUAUAUUAGUCUAUUUUCAGGGAAAAUUAACGGCACUUGAUUUGGAGUUUCGUAGCUCCAGUUAUAAAUAAUUUAGUGACUGUUGCUCAGGAAGACAGCUUGCAGUGAAAUUAUGAUUAUGUGGUAAACAUUGACAAAAAUUUGUUAAUGAGUUGCUUAUUGUUUUCUUAUAAGCUUACUAUGAUCUGUAGGUGUGAUUGGCCGAAUAUUGUAAGGGGUUAAUACGUAGUUUGUAUUUGAAUAGUUAGAUUAACGUGUUAGUAAUCCAAUUGUAGGUGGUUCGUGUGUGGAUCUCGUCAGCAUAUCGUCGCAAACAGGUGUGUAACUGACACCCUCUCAUAGACUAGAUUGGCAAAAGUCGAAAAGCCGAAAUGCCGAAAAGUCGGUAUUUUGGGAAUUUGCGAGUGUGCGAAUGCUCGUAAGAUAGUUGGGUUUGUAUAUUUGGUAAUCUAAAGUAAUAAACUGCAGUACGCGCGAUUUCGUACAUUUUGAUAAUUUGGGCUUAAUGGGCCAAAGAUCGGGUUCAUGGGCCAACGGGCCCAAUUCGAUAAGUAUGCGCGGUAAGUGUUCUGAUAGUACGUAAAUAGUUAGGAUAUGCAUGAAAACCCUAAAAGUAGCUAAAUUACUAUAAUACCCCUAUGUAUGGAAAAUUACUGUUAUACCCCUAGGUGCAUAAUUACCGUUAUACCCCUAGGGUUAAUUUUGACUAAAAAGCAUGACGAUCUGAUUCUGUAUGAUGUAUGCCAUGAUUAUAUAUCUGUUGCAUGGGGACAUGGGUUAUAUUAUGGAGGAAGCGUUCUGGUGGCUAUGCCACAAAUAUCUGAUCUGGUGGCUCUGCCACAAAUAUCUGAUCUGGUGGCUCUGCCACAUAUAUCUGUUCUGGUGGCUCUGCCACGAUUAUCUGUAUCUGGUGACUCUCUCACAUUAUCUGUUCUGGCAGCCAUGCUGCAAAUUCUGUGGUGUGUAGCGGUUGGGUGGGUCGAGUUGUCUCCCCACACGGUGUAAGGUUGGUACGGGGGUGUAUACGGUUGGAUAUGGUUGGGUUUCUGCAUAAACAUGUAAUAUCUGUUCUGUUCUGCUAUGGGCCUAUGGGCUUUAUUCUGAAUUCUGUUCUGGGCUAAGGCCAACUUAUUCUAUUUCUGUGGGUUGAGCUGAUUUAGACUAUGGUUGGGUUAUUUUACACACUGAGUUUUCCCCAAACUCACCCCUUUUAUUUUCAUCCACGCAGGUAAUCCCCAACCAUAGUGGGCUUGGAGCUGUGAGGGAAUUCGGAGUGGCCACCCGUUCUGAAAGUUUGAUUUUCUUCUGGUGAACUGGACAUCCUUUUAAUUACGUUUGAGGUUUUGGGCUUUUAAAUGUAAUAAGGCCGCUUAUUUAUUUUUGAUGGUUUUUAAUAUGUAUUACUAAGAUAGAUAAUACUUAUUUUAACUGUUGAAAUUGGAUAGCUUUAGGGCGCGUUUCCAAAAACAACAGUUGAUUUCAAAAUAACACGACAACAAACAAAGCUUCCGCAAUGAAAGUAUUUUCCAAAAUUAAUCAUUUUUCCUAAAAAUGACUUAAUCAAAUCGGUUUCCUAGAAAUAUCCAUGACGUUAAGGUGUGGCAAUGGCGGUAUGCAUGUCUAGGAUUGGAUCCGAAGGGAGCUUGGUAUUUAAGCAGUCCGAUGGACUCACCACCUCUUUUCCGGUUUCCUACCUGGUGCACAGCUUCCAUUCACUUUAACCCUUAAUGAAUUAAUCUUUUGAACAUCAAGUACGAUUUUCUGGACUUAGAAUGGAAAUUUUUUUUUUACGUUUUUGAUGUGGCAUGCCGGAUCCGGCCAUAACUUCUGGGCCGGGUUUGGGGUGUUACAUAGCCGGUUGGAAUCUCAUCGGAGUAUUGUCAAACUAUUUAUUCAAAAUAUUAGUAUUUAUGGCUAUUUUGGUUAAUGGUUAUAAAUGACAUGUAAUAGGGUUGAAAGGUUAUUCAAGUGAAAUUGCUUGUCUUGAGUUGUGUCAAGCUUGUCACGGUUAAUAAGGUAAAUGAUGGCAUGAAUAAUAGUUGUAAAUAUGGGUGAAUGAACCCUCAUGCAUACUCCAUAGAUUCUAAAUAGUAUAUAGCAUGAUGGCAUGUUUUGGAAUGGUUAUUUUGCCAUGGUUGGCAUAGGGUUAAACUAGAUUUUGUGCUUGAGAUGUGGCAAUAUAGCUUUGUUUCGAUUGAAGUUGUUUUGGUGUAAAUGAGGUGCCUUUGAAUGACUUAUUGGCUAGGAAAAAUAGGUUGAUUGAAUGGCUUGUUUUGAGGGACCAAUUAUGGAGCACACAGCCUAGGACACGGGCUAUCACAUGGCCUGGCUAUACGACCUUGUAUCACUUAUUAUUUUAGGUGUGAGUACGACACAGCCGUGUAUAUCAAGUUAGUGAGUUACACGAUCUAGCACACAUUCUACAACACGGCUGUGUGACACAAGUCAGAAAGUUACAUGGUUUAUGACAUGGGCUAGGACACGACCGUGUGUCCCAUUGUUCGAAUACCACACGGUCUGGGCUUUGUCACACGGCUUGCCCACACGAUUGUGUGACCCUUGUUUUCAAAAUUUUUAACUUUUUCCAAAAUUGACUUAAUUGUUUUAAAUUAGUCUCGAAUUGUUUCUGAACUGUUUUUAGGGCCUUUAAGGCUCGAUUUAAGGCCUAAAUGUAUAUCUUGGCUAGGUUUGUAAUGAUUUUUAAGUAAUUAAUGUUAAAUGACA
rnacentral:lncRNA from 1 species